UGGGAACACCAACCCAGAAGUUGCCA
rnacentral:piRNA from 1 species